GAUGAAGAACGCAGCGAAAUGCGAUAAGUAAUGUGAAUUGCAGAAUUCAGUGAAUCAUCGAAUCUUUGAACGCACAUUGCGCCCCCUGGUAUUCCGGGGGGCAUGCCUGUCCGAGCGUCAUUACAACCCUCAAGCUCAGCUUGGUGUUGGGCCCCGCCGCCCCGGCGGGCCCUAAAGUCAGUGGCGGUCCCGUCCGGCUCCGAGCGUAGUAAUUCUUCUCGCUCUGGAGGUCCGGUCGUGUGCUCGCCAGCAACCCCCAAUUUUUUUCAGGUUGACCUCGGAUCAGGUAGGGAUACCCGCUGAACUUAAGCAUAUCAAUAAGCGGAGGA
rnacentral:misc_RNA from 1 species